rnacentral:rRNA from 1 species
UGGGGAAUAUUGCACAAUGGGCGCAAGCCUGAUGCAGCCAUGCCGCGUGUGUGAAGAAGGCCUUCGGGUUGUAAAGCACUUUCAGCGAGGAGGAAGGUGGUGAGCUUAAUACGCUCAUCAAUUGACGUUACUCGCAGAAGAAGCACCGGCUAACUCCGUGCCAGCAGCCGCGGUAAUACGGAGGGUGCAAGCGUUAAUCGGAAUUACUGGGCGUAAAGCGCACGCAGGCGGUUUGUUAAGUCAGAUGUGAAAUCCCCGGGCUCAACCUGGGAACUGCAUUUGAAACUGGCAAGCUAGAGUCUCGUAGAGGGGGGUAGAAUUCCAGGUGUAGCGGUGAAAUGCGUAGAGAUCUGGAGGAAUACCGGUGGCGAAGGCGGCCCCCUGGACGAAGACUGACGCUCAGGUGCGAAAGCGUGGGGCAGCAAACAGGAUUAGAUACCCUGGUAGUCCAGCGCUGUAAACGAUGUCGAUUUGGAGGUUGUGCCCUUGAGGCGUGGCUUCCGGAGCUAACGCGUUAAAUCGACCGCCNGGGGAGUACGGCCGCAAGGUUAAAACUCAAAGGAAUUG